UACGUAGGGGGCAAGCGUUGUCCGGAAUCAUUGGGCGUAAAGAGCGUGUAGGCGGUCCGGUAAGUCGGCUGUGAAAGUCCAGGGCUCAACCCUGGGAUGCCGGUCGAUACUGCCGGACUAGAGUUCGGAAGAGGCGAGUGGAAUUCCCGGUGUAGCGGUGAAAUGCGCAGAUAUCGGGAGGAACACCAGUGGCGAAGGCGACUUCCUGGCCUGUUCUUGACGCUGAGGCGCGAAAGCUAGGGGAGCAAACGGG
rnacentral:rRNA from 1 species